rnacentral:rRNA from 1 species
UAGGGAAUCUUCGGCAAUGGACGGAAGUCUGACCGAGCAACGCCGCGUGAGUGAAGAAGGUUUUCGGAUCGUAAAGCUCUGUUGUAAGAGAAGAACGAGUGUGAGAGUGGAAAGUUCACACUGUGACGGUAUCUUACCAGAAAGGGACGGCUAACUACGUGCCAGCAGCCGCGGUAAUACGUAGGUCCCGAGCGUUGUCCGGAUUUAUUGGGCGUAAAGCGAGCGCAGGCGGUUAGAUAAGUCUGAAGUUAAAGGCUGUGGCUUAACCAUAGUACGCUUUGGAAACUGUUUAACUUGAGUGCAAGAGGGGAGAGUGGAAUUCCAUGUGUAGCGGUGAAAUGCGUAGAUAUAUGGAGGAACACCGGUGGCGAAAGCGGCUCUCUGGUCUGUAACUGACGCUGAGGCUCGAAAGCGUGGGGAGCGAACAGGAUUAGAUACCCUGGUAGUCCACGCCGUAAACGAUGAGUGCUAGGUGUUGGAUCCUUUCCGGGAUUCAGUGCCGCAGCUAACGCAUUAAGCACUCCGCCUGGGGAGUACGACCGCAAGGUU